rnacentral:rRNA from 1 species
UACAGGGGGUGCGAGCGUUGUUCGGAAUUAUUGGGCGUAAAGGGCGCGUAGGCGGUGCGGUAAGUCACCUGUGAAAUCUCCUGGCUCAACUGGGAGCUUGCAGGCGAAACUGCCGUGCUGGAGUGUGGGAGAGGUGCGUGGAAUUCCCGGUGUAGCGGUGAAAUGCGCAGAUAUCAGGAGGAACACCGGUGGCGAAGGCAGGUCUCUGGGCCAUUUACUGACA